UCAGAGGGAGCUAAGGGGAGAUCAAUAUUUUCUACACCAUUUAAAAUCAUGGAUCUCGGCAGAACUCGAUGCAUACUACCCCUAUUCAGAUCGUGUGGAAGGAAGUUACAAUUAAGUUUGAAAAAGCAUUUUGGAAAUUUACCUCAGAAUGUCAGUGCCCAAACUCUCGUGGGGCUUAUAAAUGGUUGAGCCAUUGAAGCAUCUCUCAGAAGACGAUCAUUGAGUUGACAAAGAAAGUCAUAGAGUGUAUAGCUAUCUCCUCAAACUACUUUACAUACUAAAAAAGUCAACG
rnacentral:lncRNA from 1 species